UGUUUCUUUGUUUAGUGGCCAUUGGACGUCACUGAUUACAAAUUCAAGGGGGGACUCCACUAUUUUAACAGCCAAUUAUGACACUUGUUAUUAGAACAGUGCCUCAUAAAAAUGCACACACAUUAGAUGAACUUAUCAGCCUAACUUCAUUAACCUACGUGAAUGUUCUACAGGCCUACAGCCUCGGGGUGGACAGGAACUGUGUGGCUUGUUCAAAUGUUUACAGAGUUGAGAAACCUUAAGGGAGAGAGAGAAAGCAACGCACUUGGGGUUAGAGAAUCACUCAGAGGAGGUUGCUGAUGACAAGCUCUUGUGAAGCGGAACUUUCCCCAGGGACUAGGAACCUUUGGAGGAACUCAGGGUCUAAAUUAAGUUCUGGAGAAAUUAUUUUACCCCCCAAAAAGUUCCAAAAGUACAGGAAUUUUUGGGGUGGUGCUUGCUGCGGUGAACAUUUCUGAUUGGUCGAGCUCUGGCCAGUGGAGCAGCGGUGGUUUGACCGUCUGGAUCGAUGCGUUGCUGGGUCACAGGCCGGCCUUCUCUGGCGCAGCGGCUUAGCUACUGCGCUGUUGGAAGCCAUGGUGGAAGACACGGAAACUGAUGACCAGUCGGUUGAAGAUGAAACAGACAGGCACAGCCUUUUUUGCCUUUAUUUGAUAGGAACAGCUGAAGAGAGACAGAGAGAGAUGUGGGAGAGAGAGACGAGAUGACAUGCAGCAAAAGGCCAUGGGUUGGAUUCAAACCCAGAAUUGCACAUUUAUAUUUCUGCAGAUAAAUAAAUAGUUGUGGAAACAAAUGUGUGUAUAGUGGCUCUAUAUAUGAAAAAUACAUGUAAUGCUUAUGUUACCAUAUUCUAAUAUUUACAACGCUCUGAGGAAAAACUGGUUCUCAAUUUCAACAUUAUAUACCGGUAAGUUCGGUAUUUUAAAACGGGUGAGAGUGCGUAGGUUAAUAAGCAAAGGUCCUUAUGCUGCAAUGCAGGUGAGGUGUUUAAUAAAUUAAAACAAUAGAGUUAUGCAGCUGUGUGAUGGGUGUAAUCUAAUUGGUGUAAUUUGCCUAAUCUAGCAGACAAUAACAGGCUGAAGGAACCUUUUAGUACCUUAAAAAGUAGCUCCUGGGAAUAAAAAUUCUGGGUACUUUGGGUGGAAACGCAGCUCAGGAUUACAAUUUCAGUAUACCUCUACUGUUGUACAGUAGGUUAUCAUUUAACACUCAACAGUUUUCAGCAAAAGUCCAUUAAAUCGAACUGCCCAGUCAGCAGAGGAGCAAUGUCCAUGUUUAAGUGUGUCAUUUUACCUUUUGUCACAAGACAAGUUACUACUUGCAUGUGUCGUAAUAUGUGUUUAGACAGUAGAGUCCCCCUUGUUUUCAUUAUGAGAAGCUGCUCUGUCAGAUUGACAUUAGAAGCAACAGCAGCAAGAAAAACUUCUUUCUCCUGCACUGACACAGCACUGAGAAAGAGAGCAACACUGUGUUAUGAUGUCUGAUUUUUAAAUGGCUCAGA